rnacentral:lncRNA from 1 species
CCGGCAGGUCGGCCCGGUAGGCGCCGCACGGCGGGAGCGAGGUGGCGGGACGCUGGGCUGCGGGACAGGUGGGGGCGCCUGCGCUUCUCGGGCCGCACGUCCGAAGACCCGAGGCCACGCCCAUUGCCUGCUGAUGGACAGCUCCUUACCUGCCGGGUCGGAUUCCGCAGCGCGAGGUGGUAGCUUGGAACAGGCCUCGGGAGGAAUCGCCGCCGGCGCUCAAGCCUAAGUGCCUGGAGGCGUCCUAACCGCCGUCAUCGCGACGAAGGAGGCUGCCCGUUGCGUCCCACCCCACCAGAAAGCCAAACACUGGCCUACAUCGGAAUCUUAAAGCGAAAUGAAAAAAUAUAUUUUUUGGUUGAAUCCCUGAAGGAGGUAGAAGACUACUGCAGUUGUCCCAGUAGGAAAGCCAGGUGGCUCGGGCUGACGUGCUGUUUGUGGACGUGGUGAUGAGUGGUAGGUAUGAGAAUGUAGGAAUUGUAAGGCUAGAGCUCGGUUGAUGUUGUUCCUGUAAACAUGGCAGCAGGGGCGCCAUGAGGUGGGUAAGGCGAGGGAAAGAGAUGUUGCCUCUGAGGCUUUGGCCUGAGUGACUAGGUGGACGGUGCUGCCGCUGACUGAGAUGGACGAGAUUUUAGGGGGAGCAAGUCUCUAGCCUGCUUUGGAGACAUGCUUCCACAUGCCUGGUUUCAGAAUGUGAUACAUAUUCAGGUCUUAUUCAUUCAUCUUCUUCUGAGGUUCCUCCCAUCAAAGUGAAAAGCUGAGUCAAACUAUCCAGUUGGCAUGUCUGAAGCAGUCAUUACUACGUGGCGUAUAUUCACAGGUAGUGACUUCGAGAGCAAGAGCACUAACAACACCUGCAGUGUCAUCACCUCACCCAGUG